AACGCAAAUUGCACUCCCUGGUAUUCCGGGGAGUAUGCCUGUUUGAGGGUCGCCAAAUAAACAUCGAUUAAACAUUGUUGUUAUAUCGGACUUGAGCUUUCUUUAACCUUUUUUUUUUAAAUGGGUUUUAAAGUGGCUUAAAAAUUAUUUUCCUUGGUAUCAUAACGUUAUUUUACGAUCAAUUUUUGAUUAAAAACGUUUUUAAUAAUACCAUUCUUUAACAAAUGUAAUACGUUCGACCAUAUAUGUAAUAUGGGUUCAUUCGUAUACGAUCAAAUCAUUUUUUUGACCUCAAAUCAGGUAAGAAUACCCGCUGAACUUAA
rnacentral:misc_RNA from 1 species